rnacentral:rRNA from 1 species
GACGAACGCUGGCGGCGUGCCUAAUACAUGCAAGUGGGACGCAAGGGAACACACUGUGCUUGCACACCGUGUUUUCUUGAGUCGCGAACGGGUGAGUAACGCGUAGGUAACCUGCCUAUUAGCGGGGGAUAACUAUUGGAAACGAUAGCUAAUACCGCAUAAUAUUAAUUAUUGCAUGAUAAUUGAUUGAAAGAUGCAAGCGCAUCACUAGUAGAUGGACCUGCGUUGUAUUAGCUAGUUGGUAAGGUAAGAGCUUACCAAGGCGACGACACAUAGCCGACCUGAGAGGGUGAUCGGCCACACUGGGACUGAGACACGGCCCAGACUCCUACGGGAGGCAGCAGUAGGGAAUCUUCGGCAAUGGACGAAAGUCUGACCGAGCAACGCCGCGUGAGUGAAGAAGGUUUUCGGAUCGUAAAGCUCUGUUGUAAGUCAAGAACGUGUGUGAGAGUGGAAAGUUCACACAGAG